rnacentral:lncRNA from 1 species
GAUGCAGCGCAUCUUACCUCUCCUUCACGUUUACUAGAGAAAUGUAGUCAUGGGCUUUCUUUUGGGCUUUACUAAUUUAUGUCGGUUUAACUUAUUCGUUAAGUUAGGGUUUUCUUUUAGGUUUUCUAUUUAAGAAGCCAUUAGGCUAUUUUGUAAGAGAACUUUUGAUAUAUUUUAAUUCUAGAGAGAUUUCUCUGAAACCCUUGUUCUUGAUUCGAUUAAAUUCAUCAAAACAGGAAGCCGGUCUCAAGUGAUUCUUCGAAUCCCUUGAUUGAGCGAAGCAGGUCCCAAGGAGGAUUAUCAAAUCUCUUGGUUGAGCUGAUUAUCCAGUUCGUAUGCUGCGCCAGGUUGGUAUCAGAGCCGAGCGACGAUUUCUAACGAUGGGCAAAGCAAAAAAAAAAUCUCUACCCACCAAGGCAGAGUUAUUUGUGUGUCUUAGAAAAGAUAUACAACAGCUUAGCAAGGCGGUGCAGGAUUUUGUUAUCCAGGUUAAUUCUAAUCACAUAGAUGUUUUUGACAAACCUAGUGAUGACGACAAAGAAGACGAAGAAAUUUCAGAGCAGAAUAUUGAUCCAAGCCAUGGUCUAUUCGAUGAAGACAACAUAAAAGGAGAUGAGUGCUCUUUUGUCGAUCAGAUUGGCGAUCCAAUAUUUGACGUGUACGGCGAACACAAUGUUAUAUAUGAUGACCCAAUUUCUGAAGAUGACUUGAAAAACAAUGAAGAUUUUUGCAUUGGUCAGUUUGGUGAUGACGUGUUUGAUGCAAAAAAAAUUCCAGUUUUUGACGUGUUUGAUGAAGACGAGACAGAAAAAGUCACGGAUAAAGAAAGGGAAGAUGAUAGCACAAAUUUUAAUGACUCCGUCCACGUUCAAGAAACUCCAACGUUUUCUAAUGCAGAUUUGGUGAAAAGUAAUGGUGUUACAUGUGACUUUAAUCUUCAGGAUAAAUCUCCUCCCUUUCAAACGAUGAUUGCAACAGUUGGCCGAAGUGAUAAAUUUUUUUCGGAGAGCAGUAGGUCCAACGAAAAAGAAGAUCACAUGGAUGGUCCCAAACAAGAACUUGUUCGUAUCUGUGAAGAGAGAGCUGGCAAGACUUAUAUGGAUUUACAGAAGAAAAAUAUAAAUUAUGGUGCAUGGAGAAAGAAUUUUCACCGACACAUCAAUCGCGAGCCACCUGAUCGUGUUCAACAAAAAGGUCCUGAAGCUGAACAACGGCUUACAAAAUUUCUGAAUGCAAAGAUCAGUAAACUUGAAGAAGCUCUUUUGUUAAAGCAAGAGAAAAAUCGGGCUUUAGAGCGUGAGUUGAGUGAAACGCGCAUGAAUAUACGAAUGUUAAAUAAGGGAACCACAAUCUUGGACAAGAUUUUAAGUAUGGGUAGAACAGAGAAGACAACAGCUGGUCUCGGAUAUCAAGGAGGUCCAUCAAGUUCACAUGGUGUCUUUGUUCGCGGUAAUCCUUUGGAACCCAACAAAACUGAUGCUGUUGUAGAAUCUGUUACGAAUUCAUCUAAGGAGCUUCCUACUGUCGCAAAUAUGUAUACUCGCCGUGUUGAGCUAAGUCUCUCGCAACACCAAGGCUGUGUACGUCAAAUACGAAGUACGGGAAUCAUAUAUGUACGGGAAUCAACAAGGCUAUCUAACUUACAUCUUGUUUGUAGGAGACUCUUCGAACAAGAGGAUGAGAAGAAUUGUAUCAACAUCUGUAUGUUAAACAGAGGAUCAGCAACGUUAGACAAGAUCUUAAGCAUGGGGAGGAUAGGGAAGACGACGGGUCUCGGUUAUCAAGGAUACUCAACUAGUUCACAAACCGUUUUUGUCCGAGAUCAAAGGUGGAAAUAUAAUGAUAAUUUUGCGCAAGAAUGUUUUACAUUUGAGAUACCGAACGAACCUCGCGUUAGAGACAAUGGCACGUUCCCGGCGGUGUGUGUGUGUCUACCGCACAUUGAGCAAAAGUAUUGCUGGUUUUCUACGGAUUGUGGUCACAUGAGCAACUUGGUGUUUCGUAACUCAUGCCAACAAUACAAAGACAUGUGCAGCCUUUUCUUUCCUCAUAAAAUAAUAAUGUGGGAACGCGAUUUGAUGUUAUCUACAGUUACACUGCUUCAGGUGAGUCAAAGCACGAGCUUGAGAAAUUUGUCAUCGACGCACCGAAUUUGUUCUAUUGCUUGUGUGGGACAGAAAGUUUCUGAUAUUUUGGAAAAUACGAGCAAUGAGUGCAAAUUUUGCAACGAUAGGAGAUUGACAUUCCAUGGUAUUAUCUUUCCUGUUGGUGUUUUAGUGGAAUGGUUCGAAGUGGAAUAUGAAGCAGUGCGAGAAUUUCUUUGUGUUGUCACUUUUGGUAUGGAGAAAUCUGGGAUUCUGUGUACACCACUAGCUUUGAAGCCAUUCAUGUUACUCCCUUACAAGUUUACAACUGUACCAAGUGAGUUUGUACUUGCCACAGGAUUACAGUUGGGAACUUAUCAAGAGCGGCUAAGAGUCUUCAGUAUAAUAACAUUGGGAUCAUCCGAUGAUAUGACAAACAUUUCUAUUGCGGAGGUGUCACAGUUUGUUCAACCGAUGUGGCUCACCAGGAUCUCAAGUUUCUCACCAUCGUUCUUACGGCCGCUACGAUAUUGUGUCCUCCAACCUUUUCUUUACAACCUGGGUCUCCUUGUGGUACUUGCACGACAAGAACCAGAGUUCUAUGAUAUCCAUAUUGGGAGUCUAUGUGUCAAGCCAAGGCUGAUAUAUGUUGUUAAUUGGUGUUGUGUGACUGUUUUAGAAGCACACGAGUUGCUUUGGGUCAUCUUUCGCAAUGAGCUGUUGUGUUUUCUAAAGAGCAGAGAGAAGGGUUUGCGUUCAGUUGUUUUUGGAGAAAUAUUGGCACAUGUUUGUAUUCAUGAUUAUCAUCUGGCAUGUGUGAUAUCUGUCGGUACGGUAGGAGUGUUUCUUAUGCGGGUUCCACAUGUUGUGGGGAUGACCUUUACAUUUUUUAACAAACAAGAAACAAGGUUUGCAAGUAGAAUCUUUAUGAGUCGUCAAGUUUCUUUGAGCCUUGGUUCCAGCUAUACACCCACACCCUUGAUUUGGUGGAGUUAUAUUACUUGCACAUCAAGCAAGCCUUUGUGUUUCUUCUUGGAUAAAGACGUGCUUUCUUUCUUUCGGUAUACCUCGUUUCAUUCAAGGCCAGGUGUUUUUGUGGUUGUUCACUUAUUCUCACAUAACAGGCUGAAUGGUGAGAAGCUUAGGAUGAGUAUUCAACGUCUCGCCAAGUUCUACAACUUCACUUGGAUGUGCAGAGAUCUCUUUACUUAUAAUCGGGUAAGGUAUGCAAAACACGGGGAAACUAAAGCGAAGAGUGAAAACAUUGAGAGUUCGGAGGAGAGAGCAGCUAAACUAACGAGGAUGCUUCUAUUGGAGAUUUGGGAGCAGAGCUUUCCUUUUCGAUUCGAGGUCGAAUCUUUCAAACCCGGAGGGACCUGAUGCAGCGCAUCUUACCUCUCCUUCACGUUUACUAGAGAAAUGUAGUCAUGGGCUUUCUUUUGGGCUUUACUAAUUUAUGUCGGUUUAACUUAUUCGUUAAGUUAGGGUUUUCUUUUAGGUUUUCUAUUUAAGAAGCCAUUAGGCUAUUUUGUAAGAGAACUUUUGAUAUAUUUUAAUUCUAGAGAGAUUUCUCUGAAACCCUUGUUCUUGAUUCGAUUAAAUUCAUCAAAACAGGAAGCCGGUCUCAAGUGAUUCUUCGAAUCCCUUGAUUGAGCGAAGCAGGUCCCAAGGAGGAUUAUCAAAUCUCUUGGUUGAGCUGAUUAUCCAGUUCGUAUGCUGCGC